GACGAACGCUGGCGGCGUGCUUAACACAUGCAAGUCGAACGCUGAAGCUCAGCUUUUGUUGGGUGGAUGAGUGGCGAACGGGUGAGUAACACGUGAGUAACCUGCCCCCUUCUUUGGGAUAACGCCCGGAAACGGGUGCUAAUACUGGAUAUUCACUGGUCUUCGCAUGGGGGUUGGUGGAAAGGGUUUUUCUGGUGGGGGAUGGGCUCGCGGCCUAUCAGCUUGUUGGUGGGGUGAUGGCCUACCAAGGCUUUGACGGGUAGCCGGCCUGAGAGGGUGACCGGUCACAUUGGGACUGAGAUACGACCCAGACUCCUACGGGAGGCAGCAGUGGGGAAUAGUGCACAAUGGGGGCAAGCCUGAUGCAGCGACGCCGCGUGAGGGAUGGAGGCCUUCGGGUUGUGAACCUCUUUCGCUCAUGGUCAAGCCGCAACAAUGGUUGUGGUGAGGGUAGUGGGUAAAGAAGCGCCGGCUAACUACGU
rnacentral:rRNA from 1 species